GGAAACCUGGGCACCAAGGCUUGUCCCACUCUAGGGGACUGGGGAAACAGGGAUUUUGCCAGCACCCCCUGGCAGGGCAACCAUCAGGUCAAAGGGACCUGACCUAUGACCCCUUCCUCAGAUCAUUGUGGGUGUGAUUCUCCUCUACUACAUCCUCGGAGUCAGUGCCUUAAUUGGAGCAGCUGUCAUCAUUCUACUGGCUCCUGUCCAGUACUUCGUGGCCACCAAGCUGUCUCAGGCUCAGCGGAGCACACUGGAGUAUUCCAAUGAGCGGCUGAAGCAGACCAACGAGAUGCUCCGCGGCAUCAAGCUGCUGAAGCUGUACGCCUGGGAGAACAUCUUCCGCACGCGGGUGGAGACGACCCGCAGGAAGGAGAUGACCAGCCUCAGGGCCUUUGCCAUCUAUACCUCCAUCUCAAUUUUCAUGAACACGGCCAUCCCCAUUGCAGCUGUCCUCAUAACCUUCGUGGGCCAUGUCAGCUUCUUCAAAGAGGCCGACUUCUCGCCCUCCGUGGCCUUUGCCUCCCUCUCCCUCUUCCAUAUCUUGGUCACACCGCUGUUCCUGCUGUCCAGUGUGGUCCGAUCUACCGUCAAAGCU
rnacentral:sRNA from 1 species